GCACUGCUCGGCAGCAAAGCAAAGCAACCACAGCUGCAGGAUGGUGUCCUUCAACGUCUGAAUGCAUCCCCAGCCUGGUGUGAACAGGAUGCUACACUGCACCUCCCUCCCCUCCGGAAAGGAAACAGCACAGCAAGUGCUUCAACCCAAACCCUGUGCUAUUCAGCCCAAUGCUGCGUGCCUGAGAGCAGCUCACAAACACACACGGAGCCAUCCUGCUGCCAGGUCCCAUCAGGCCAGCUGCUUUUCAAAUGGGUUCAUGUCCCACCAGACUUGGAACAGUUGCAUUGAAUCUUCAGUCCAAAUGGAGCACCACUGAAUUCCCCCCUUUUUCUGGAUGUACCACUAUCCCUUGUCAUGUUCCUUUGAAUACCACCAAAAUAAAGCCCUUAUCUCUUUUUCUCAUGUUCUAAUCACAAUAAAUACGGCCUCAAUAAAUAGAGAGAGCCCUACCCAGCCCACCACAGACUGCAGCACCAAGGGGAUGUUGUACUCCUGUAGCUGGAACAGCUCUGAUGGCUCACAGUCCACUGUGAAGCUGUUGGUGUCAUUGUUGAACUCCACUGGACAAGUGAAGCACCGGUACCCAGACAUCACAUAGGACAGCUUCAAAAGGAGAGAAAUAAAGAUGCAGUAAGAAAAAUCAUGAUUAACAUCAUCCUGAGCAAUGAGGCAGAGGUGCUCUUAAGGGAAAAGGCCACUCAAGGAGACAUGGUGAGGAGAGACCUACACUGCCAGCUUCACUAAGAAGAUUACUUUCCUGAGAACAGUAAUUGGUUGAAGGCAGAGUAAGCAUUUCUGUUUAGUAAUUGCAUCUGUUCAGCAAGCAGUGAACAGAGCCCUUUAGAAACAAAUUGAGACAGGUUGCACUAUUUGGCUGAGCAGAUGGAUGCAACCACACACACAGAUCGACACAAAACCAGGUAAUAUUCCAAGAGCACAGAGUUCCCCACACAGCCUUUGAAAUAGGCAUAUAUUCAACAGCAGGCCCAGAUGCUUUGGCUGGACCCAUGUAGAGCAUCUGUGGAAAUGCUGUAGUCUCUCCCCUUCAAGGUACAAGAGAGAAUGUUCAAGGAUAACUGAAGAAAUGAAUGUGUCACAGGGUCUGAUGGGGACUAAAAACCUCCUGCAGUGUCCUGCUCCAUCAGCAGGAUCUCCACACAGUGUAAAACAGAACCAAAGACUAGUUCAAAUCCAGGUCAGUAGGAAAAAGGUAAAUUUUCUGAGAAGAGCCAGUAGAGCUUAAAGUUUGUGUGCACUUUUUAGCCAAAACUCCGUCACCUUACAUAGGGAAGCCAAAGGAAUAAGCAGCACGAUUGCUACUUACCAGUAACCCAAACAAAACGGUGGCAAAAAACCCUCCAAUAAAACCCUCCCAGGUCUUCUUUGGGGACAGCUGCCAGAGGGAGAGAAAGAAGGGGAUCGUUACUAACUGUGCACCUAUGCUCGCUGCAACACAGA